GAACGGAAACGAAAAACUCGAAUCAAGACUGCCAACGACCUAACGGAUCUCGAAUUCAAUGAAAACCCACCUUCUCUUUUAACCUUGACGAACUCAAACUGGACCUCACCGAACGACGAACAACGGACUCAAACAAAACCAAAUGAAACCUUGACAAAACUUCGCCGGACUUUAACCGGACUGCCUCGCUUUUCCUCCGUGUGUGUGCGUGUGGUCAUGGAAGCAGCAACAGCUAUGUGUUUGGACGUGAGCUGGUAUUAUGGUCGUCGAGCAGCAGCAGCCAUGGCGAGCUGGCUGGAGCCGCGACUGGACGAAGCAGAAGCCGAUGGGGUUCGCUUGGACGUGAUGAACUGGACGUGAGGAGCAGAUGUGUUGCUGCUUUGGUGGUUAUUUUGGAGGGUUGACGAUGAGGAGAUGAAGCAGCUGGUGAAGCUGCACGCAAUAGUGGUGGCGCUGGGCAGUCCGUCGAUGGCUGGAGGCUGUCGUGGUCGUUGGGCUGCUUCACGUAGCAGAAACGAUGGCGGAUUUGGGUGGUGUAUUGUUGGCGUUGUGUGUGUUGUUCACGGCUGGAAGACGAAGCAGGAGGGGGUUGUUCAUGGCUGGUCAUUCAGCUGAGGAAGAUGGACGACGGGGCAGCUGCUGCGUCCAUGACGACGUGAAGACGAAGUAGAAGAAGGUGAAAGGGUCGCCAUUGACGGGCUCGAGCUCGACUAGAGUUAUCGAAGACGAAGAAGAUGAAGGAUGGUCGUGGGGCUGC
rnacentral:lncRNA from 1 species